GGCGCACGGGUGCGUAACGCGUAUGCAAUCUACCCUUUACUGGAGAAUAGCCCGGAGAAAUUCGGAUUAAUGCCCCAUAUGCUCGUAGGAUCUCCUGAUCCAGCGAGGAAAGCUCCGGCGGUAAAGGAUGAGCAUGCGUCCCAUUAGCUUGUUGGUGAGGUAACGGCUCACCAAGGCGACGAUGGGUAGGGGGCCUGAGAGGGCGAUCCCCCACACUGGUACUGAGACACGGACCAGACUCCUACGGGAGGCAGCAGUGAGGAAUAUUGGGCAAUGGAGGCAACUCUGACCCAGCCAUGCCGCGUGCAGGAAGACGGUCCUUGGAUUGUAAACUGCUUUUAUUAGGGAAUAAACCCUCCUACGUGUAGGAGGCUGAAGGUACCUGAUGAAUAAGCAUCGGCUAACUCCGUGCCAGCAGCCGCGGUAAUACGGAGGAUGCAAGCGUUAUCCGGAUUUAUUGGGUUUAAAGGGUCCGUAGGCGGGUAUUUAAGUCAGUGGUGAAAGCCCACAGCUCAACUGUGGAACUGCCAUUGAUACUGGAUGUCUUGAGUAUAGUAGAAGUAGGCGGAAUAGGGCAUGUAGCGGUGAAAUGCAUAGAUAUGCCCUAGAACACCGAUUGCGAAGGCAGCUUACUAUGUUAUAACUGACGCUGAGGGACGAAAGCGUGGGGAGCAAACAGGAUUAGAUACCCUGGUAGUCCACGCCGUAAACGAUGAUUACUCGCUGCUGGCGAUAUACAGUCAGUGGCCAAGCGAAAGCAUUAAGUAAUCCACCUGGGGAGUACGCCGGCAACGGUGAACUCAAAGGAUGAUGGGGCCCGCACAGC
rnacentral:rRNA from 1 species